rnacentral:lncRNA from 1 species
ACGUGAGCGUUUGCCUGGCCGAAGACUUGUACAGUGCGGUGCCCCAGAGAAUGCGCCCAGACCCAGGCACUUACCACCCUCUUCAUCUUCUUCCACAGCCCCUCAGACCCAGGCACUUACCACCCUCUCCAAUGCGCCCAGACCCAGGCACUUACCACCCUCUCCAAUGCGCCCAGACCCAGGCACUUACCACCCUCUCCAAUACGCCCAGACCCAGGCACUUACCACACUCUCCAAUGCGCCCAGACCCAGGCACUUACCACACUCUCCAAUGCGCCCAGACCCAGGCACUUACCACCCUCUGCAAUGCGCCCAGACCUCAUGCACUUACCACCCUCUCCAAUGCGCCCAGACCUCAUGCACUUACCACCCUCUCCAAUGCGCCCAGACCCAGGCACUUACCACCCUCUGCA